rnacentral:rRNA from 1 species
AUGAACGCUGGCGGCGUGCCUAAUACAUGCCAGUCGCGCGAACAGACGAGGAGCUUGCUCCUCUGACGUUAGCGGCGGACGGGUGAGUAACACGUGGAUAACCUACCUAUAAGACUGGGAUAACUUCGGGAAACCGGAGCUAAUACCGGAUAAUAUAUUGAACCGCAUGGUUCAAUAGUGAAAGACGGUUUUGCUGUCACUUUUAGAUGGAUCCGCGCCGCAUUAGCUAGUUGGUAAGGUAACGGCUUACCAAGGCAACGAUGCGUAGCCGACCUGAGAGGGUGAUCGGCCACACUGGAACUGAGAAACGGUCCAGACUCCUACGGGAGGCAGCAGUAGGGAAUCUUCCGCAAUGGGCGAAAGCCUGACGGAGAAACGCCGCGUGAGUGAUGAAGGUCUUCGGAUCGUAAAACUCUGUUAUUAGGGAAGAACAAAUGUGUAAGUAACUAUGCACGUCUUGACGGUACCUAAUCAGAAAGCCACGGCUAACUACGUG